GCGUUGUUCGGAUUCAUUGGGCGUAAAGGGUGCGUAGGUGGCGCCAUAAGUGGGGUGUGAAAUCUCGGGGCUUAACUCCGAAACUGCAUUCCAUACUGUGGUGCUCGAGGACUGGAGAGGAGACUGGAAUUUACGGUGUAGCAGUGAAAUGCGUAGAGAUCGUAAGGAAGACCAGUGGCGAAGGCGGGUCUCUGGACAGUUCCUGACACUGAGGCACGAAGGCCAG
rnacentral:rRNA from 1 species